AGCGAACGUCAGCGGCGGGCCUAACACAUGCAAGUCGAACGAGAAUGAGGGGGCAACUCCUCUAGUAAAGUGGCGGACGGGUGCGUAACACGUGGGUAAUCUACCGACCGGCGAGGGACAACCGUCCGAAAGGAUGGCUAAUACCGCGUACGCCGGCGGGGACUCCGGUUCCUGUCGGGAAAGGUGGCCUCUCCUUGGAAGCUGCCCCCGGUCGAUGAACCCGCGGCCCAUCAGCUUGUUGGUGAGGUAACGGCNCACCAAGGCUAAGACGGGUAGCUGGUCUGAGAGGAUGAUCAGCCACACUGGGACUGCGACACGGCCCAGACUCCUACGGGAGGCAGCAGUGGGGAAUAUUGGGCAAUGGGCGAAAGCCUGACCCAGCCACGCCGCGUGAGUGAUGAAGGCC
rnacentral:rRNA from 1 species